rnacentral:rRNA from 1 species
UGGGGAAUAUUGCACAAUGGGCGCAAGCCUGAUGCAGCCAUGCCGCGUGUGUGAAGAAGGCCUUCGGGUUGUAAAGCACUUUCAGCGAGGAGGAAGGCGUUGUAGUUAAUAGCUGCAACGAUUGACGUUACUCGCAGAAGAAGCACCGGCUAACUCCGUGCCAGCAGCCGCGGUAAUACGGAGGGUGCAAGCGUUAAUCGGAAUUACUGGGCGUAAAGCGCACGAAGGCGGUUUGUUAAGUCAGAUGUGAAAUCCCCGAGCUUAACUUGGGAACUGCAUUUGAAACUGGCAAGCUAGAGUCUUGUAGAGGGGGGUAGAAUUCCAGGUGUAGCGGUGAAAUGCGUAGAGAUCUGGAGGAAUACCGGUGGCGAAGGCGGCCCCCUGGACAAAGACUGACGCUCAGGUGCGAAAGCGUGGGGAGCAAACA